UAAAAAAAAUCACAUUCAUCUCUUUUCCUACUAAAUUGAAUGAUAAGCUUCAAUAAUGCUUUGAAUCAAUUAUAAUUAUUACUAAACAUUAUUUUGCUCCUUCUGAAAAAAAAAGAGAAAAAUAAUGUAAAUCACUGAGGUAUGAUAUGCCUUUAAUAUGAAAGUAAUUUACACAAGUAUUUUCAUUGUGAGUUGUUGUAAGUGAUUAAAAACCUUUUUUUAAUGUAAUCCAUUUUUUUUUGUUCUUAACUAUUAUUAUAAAUGGUAUGUUACUCUUUACACUAAAAAGUUAAAUCUUUAGUUUUUCCUUACAUCUAAAAUGUUCUCUAUGUCUUCCAGCUUAAAACUAUACAUUCUUGAAACAUGAUAGGAUCAUAAAACAUUCAAGGGUGCUGCUAUCAGUAAUACAGUGACAAGCCGUGUAAUUAUUCACUGACCAGAGAUAGGAAAUUUUGGGGGAAAAAGUUUAUGUGUAGGACUAUGUAGUAGAAGAGAGAUUCACCACAGGCUGUUUCGGUUGAAAUAGAAAAUAGUCUGAAGGAAAAGUACAUACGUGUUGUGUAAAAUUUAAAGUGUCAGUGUGUACUAAAAUAGUGUAACAGAACACUGAAUUACUGAUUCGAACUAAUAAGCUAAACAUAACAAACAAUGAAACAUGGCUAUCAGAAGUACAUGACGGUGAUCGAUUAGUGCUUGGGAAAUUGUUAAUUAAUCAGAUUAGAGAAGAAAAGAAAAUAUUGUGAUUUGAUAUUCAACAAAUCAAUAAGACGUAUACUGGAUUUAAUAUAAAACGGCGUCAAAUAAGGAAUAACAAUAAAAUACGGAUAAAAAAUGGUUGUUUAGAAAAGUGAUGCAUCGGAACAAUCGCAAACAUUUUGAAUGCGCGAUGAAAACAUCAGACAUAGACAUUUAACAUUGAAGUUGCUGAAGUGAUAUUGGUAUUCUCAGUUCAUCAUGUUUCAACUAUCGUUUUAUUUUUGUUUUAUUUUUGUUUUUCUUUACAGAAUGAAACUCAUUAUUUGAUUCCGCAAAAAUAUAUUCAGAAAAAUGUAUGAAUAUUAUGUUUUGCACUGUCAUUGCUUUGUGUUUUGUGUAAUAUAAUAUUACCCAUAUCUGUUUUUUUCAUAAUCUUUUGGAUUUACAAUUAAAGGCACACCAUGCUUCAAACAUGAGGUUAGUUUCAUUUCUCAAAAACGUUUUUUAAGUUUCAAAGUUGGUAUCCUGUUACAGUUUCUUAAAAGUGGUACGAUCUCAUGUUCUAAAUACUAAUUUUGCGAUUGAUAUAAUUAGUGUAAAUACGUUUUUCGUGUAGAAGUCAAAAUACUACCUAGAUUACAUUUUGCUACCUUUACGAAAUAUUACUGAACAUUCAGCGAUACUUUCCUCAUCUGUUAAACACCUUACAUCCUCUAAAUCGUUGAUUAUACAUGUUUGACAUUUCUAAACAUUUUAAUUAUUAUGGAUUUCUGCGACAGAUUGUGCCUUUCACCUUUUUAACAUUUUGGUACUAGCUUUUAUCAUCCAAUAGCUUUCUUUGAUACACAUCUAUUUCUUAUUAUGUUUAUUAUAUUGAAAUUGAUUUUUAUUUUUGUGUUUGAUUUUCGAUAAUCAGUUAGAAAAAUAGAUAUGAGAUCAGAAUUCUCCAAAAAUAAUGUUAGUUAUUUUUAUUAUAUUCCAUGAAUGUUCAGUAACGUCAAAUUUGCCUUAAUUUUCGUUUGUUGCAGUAAUAAUGUAUAAAAUUGUAUGAUAAAACAUUAAACUAUAAGCCCUUUAUAUGCAUAAAUGUUAUUGCAAGUUAAUUUUUU